rnacentral:rRNA from 1 species
AGUGAACGCUGGCGGUAUGCCUAACACAUGCAAGUCGAACGGCAGCACAGUAAGAGCUUGCUCUUACGGGUGGCGAGUGGCGGACGGGUGAGGAAUACAUCGGAAUCUACUUUUUCGUGGGGGAUAACGUAGGGAAACUUACGCUAAUACCGCAUACGACCUACGGGUGAAAGCAGGGGAUCUUCGGACCUUGCGCGAUUGAAUGAGCCGAUGUCGGAUUAGCUAGUUGGCGGGGUAAAGGCCCACCAAGGCGACGAUCCGUAGCUGGUCUGAGAGGAUGAUCAGCCACACUGGAACUGAGACACGGUCCAGACUCCUACGGGAGGCAGCAGUGGGGAAUAUUGGACAAUGGGCGCAAGCCUGAUCCAGCCAUACCGCGUGGGUGAAGAAGGCCCUCGGGUUGUAAAGCCCUUUUGUUGGGAAAGAAAAGCAGCAGGUUAAUACCCCGCUGUUCUGACGGUACCCAAAGAAUAAGCACCGGCUAACUUCGUG